GUGCCUGCUUUGGCAGCACACAUAUUAAAGUUGGAAUGAUAUAGACAAGAUCAGCAUGGCCCCUGUACUGGGAAGACACACAGAUUCAUGAAGUAAUCAAUAUGUUA
ensembl:snRNA U6 U6 spliceosomal RNA